rnacentral:lncRNA from 11 species
GGUUACAACACAUUGUCAUCAAUAAUGACUGGAGGUUUUGAAAAAGCAUGUCACCGAUGCAUCUCAAAAAUUGCCAGCAAUGCUUGCUUUAUCUUUGGACUACUUGCUUUCCUAGCAUUACCACUAUCUAUGGCUUUUACAGGCAUGAAAUUUUUAAACAGCUGUCCGGUCCAGCCACUCAUUCCCUUGUAUCUUCUUGUAGGUGGUGUAGUUGGCACUUUGAAGGUUGCUCUUCUGCUUUUCGACUCCACCCGAAUGAGGCAGCUGCUUUCCAAAUCUGUCAUGAUCGACGAUGAUGACGACGACGAAUUUCCAUGGAGGCAGAACGCUCACCGAUAUUAUAUUCACCUCACUCUCAGCCUCUUCCUCUUCCUCUGGUUCAUCCUGGGGAACUACUGGGUGUUUUCAGUUUACUUGCCCAAUUUCAUACCACCUUUCCAUCAUCCCCAGGAUUACUGUGAUAAAGUCCUGUAUGUUUUUGCCAUUGGUGUGCUUGUCAUUAGCCACACCGUGCUGAUUUUGCUGAUCUUCUGUACUUGCGGUGUAUAUUUCUGUUCCAGGAAAUUGCAUGUGGCAGAAGAAGAUUAAAAGUUGCACAUAUGGGGUCACAAAACAAUUAGAAAAGUGGGUUAGAACAGAGUGGGAUUUGCUGGUUGUGUGUUUUGGGCAUGCGCACACUGCUUGUAACUAACAGACUCCAUUUGUGGGGGUUUUGGUUGUGAGAUCUGUUUCACAUGCUUAUGAUGCUGAAUCCAAUAAGACUGAUGGGAUGGAGGAACGAGAAAAAUGUACUUAUUUGACAGUUGUAAGUCUCCGAAUGUCUUCAAGCAACUUACAAAAGCAAGCCCUGAAAGAGAUGAUCAACGUACUUCUUGCUUUUUCAGCAUUCCAUGUAGUUCUGCAAUUGAAUUACAAAAGUAACUUUUUUCUGGAAAGUAAUUCAUAUGUCUUAAAAGCAAUUAGAAUCAUCACUUCCUCAAAAAUUUUGAAAUGGUACAGGAGCCCAUUCCAGUUUUCUGACAGCCCUGCUGUCCAAUUUAUUGUACAGAUAAUAACAAUUUUAAAAACUACAACCAUAUACUUGACUAGAUCUUGGAAGUCUAUUUUAAAAUCUCUACUACCAUUACAAUUAAUAGUACUGCAAUAUAGAUUGAGAGUCAGCAGGUUGUAAUUUUCUGAGUGGUGGGCUAUCAUAGCAUCUAUCCAUUCAAGAGUGAGUAGGGCUGUAGUCGGGGGAGGUUAGAGGUUCAACCCCCCCCCCCCCAAAUUUCAGGUUUUAAAACGUCGUUUACUCAUGAAUUUUAACUGGUUAACCAAAUCCCAAUGAGCGUCCACUGAAGUUUAUUGAUGGAGUCUGACUUCUAAAUUAUUUUACAUUAUGAAACUACUCUUCAUGAUUCCCUAAAAAAAAGUCCCCCCCCCCAUUUUUUUCUGACUAUGGCCAUGGUGUACACCAUUUCUUUUGGCAGGCUUACCCAGUCAACUUGUAAUUAUAUGUUUUGAUUUACAUUUUAUUGCUACUAUAUGUCAAUUUUGGAUAUGUGUUUGGGGGCAAGUUUUUAAAAAAUAUUUUUGUGUUUUUAUCUGUGUGAUUUGUGGUAUAUAUCUAUGUUCAUAU